CCCUCUCUGACAAGCCAUACCAUUCUGUGGAGUGCCUGAUGGACACUGGAGCAGCCUGCAGUGUUCUCAAAAUAUCAGAAGCCACAAAUUUGGAAAUUUCUGGACAAAUUGAUGCUAUAGAACUAGCAGGUAAAACCAUCAUGCUGAAGGAGACUGUAGAAACUCCUGUGACUAUAGGUCCAGUUGAGACCUCCCUCUCCUUUGUCCUCAGUGACACCGUCUCCUGCAAUUUGCUGGGAAGAGAUGCACUGAUGAAACUAAAGACGAACAUCUAAUAUACAGAGGAUGAACUGGUUGUCACUACAUUAGUGGGAUCAGAAGACCACAACACAUUGUGAUCACCCUAAUGGCAAUUCGCAUCCUUCCAGAGCAGGAUAUUCCACCUGACCUGAAAGAUGUCCCUCUAGAACUUUGGGCUAUAAAAGGUGGUCCACUGGGCCUGAUAAAACAAGCAGACCCAGUGGUCAUUAAGCUCAGACCUGGAGCUAAAUUGCCCAGGAUUCCUCAGUAUCCCCUCCGCAUGAAACAAUUAAAUGAUGUAAGAGAACAAAUUAAAAAUGUUGUGAAUCAGGGGAUCCUGACUCCCACACAAUCACCUGUAAAUACAUCCUUGUGGCCUGUGGCUAAGCCUGGGAGACUGGGGCAGUUCCGCCUGAUUCAUGAUUUGCGGGCAGUAAAUAAAAUCAUUCAAGAGGAUUCCCCACUUGUCCAAAAUCCCCCCACUAUUCUAGGAGAAAUUCCUUUGGACGCCUCCUGGUUUGGUGUGAUAGAUUUGGUAGACGCUUCCUUUUGUGUCCCUGUACAUCCUGACUCUCAGUACCUGUUUGCCUUCAAUUUUGAGGGACAGCCGUAUGCUUGGACAAUUUAUGUGACUGUGCAUUUAUAUUUAAGGAUAUGAG